rnacentral:rRNA from 1 species
AGAGCGAGCGCUGGCGGCAUGCUUAACACAUGCAAGUCGCACGGGCGGGGGCAACCCUGUCAGUGGCGGACGGGUGAGUAACGCGUAGGUAUCUAUCCUUGGGUGGGGGACAACUGUGGGAAACUACAGCUAAUACCGCAUGAUGACCGAGGUCCAAAGCUCGCGAGAGCGCCUGGGGAGGAGCCUGCGUACGAUUAGCUAGUUGGUGGGGUAAAGCCUACCAAGGCGACGAUCGUUAGCUGGUCUGAGAGGAUGAUCAGCCACAUUGGGACUGAGACACGGCCCAAACUCCUACGGGAGGCAGCAGUGGGGGAAUAUUGGACAAUGGGCGCAAGCCUGAUCCAGCAAUGCCGCGUGUGUGAAGAAGGUCUUCGGAUUGUAAAGCACUUUCGGACGGGGACGAUGAUGACGGUACCGUAGAAGAAGCCCCGGCUAACUUCGUGCCAGCAGCCGC